rnacentral:lncRNA from 1 species
CUUUGGGGUGAGUCCUCCACGGGGCAGUCUUGCUGUGUGGCCAGCACUCAAGCUCACGGCUUCUGAGAGCCCCUCUGAUGGCCUUUGGAUGCCCGCUUGGUCCCCAUUGCAUGCAGUUUCAUGGAGACUUUGCCAGGUGGUGGACAUGUGACUGAGUGGGGCCCAACAGAGGCUCCUCUAGGACCCUGACCUUUGAGCGGAUGGAUGUGAGGACGGACCAGGAUCAGGGCGUGGAGGUCCAGAAGGACACGUGGGGCCUUCUAACUUGUGGACGUUCUGUUUCUUAACCUGGCUGGUGGGACUGCCUCCUCCUCUUCUAAGGUGGCUUCAUGUUUGCAUGGCACCCUGUGGCUUACAGCCCCUACCCCAUCCGUCACCCUGUUUGAUCCCCGAGGUCCCCAUGAGGCCGGCUCCAGGGAGACCAUGAUCAACCUGUCCUGCUGGGGGGCCCUGGAGGCGACAGACAGGACAGAGACCCAGGACUCCUUGGGUUGAUCACCCAUUCGUGCAUCAAAGAAUUCAGGAAUAAAGCCAUGAAUGGAUUUAGUGAGUUUCUGCCAGGUGGACCCCAGAUCAUAAAGGGCCUUGCGUACCAUGCCACAGUCGG